AAUAGCUGCAUCAAAAAUUCCAGACAGGAAUACAAAGGAUGUGGAGAGAAAGAGACGGGUGACCACACUUUCUGAGAUGAAGAAAAAGAUCUGCAUUUUUAAAAUAUAAGGAUAGAAUAGUUUCUUCUCUGCAUAUGUAAAGGGAAUUUGGGAUCUUAUCCAUCCCUUGUGGAACCAUGUUUUAUGACCCCUGAAUCUUUCCCUGGGAAGGUUCUCUGACGAUGAAUAUGGUACUGUCACAGGACUUUACAGGCUCAAGCCACCCAAGAAGAACAUGAGGGUUUUUAAUGCACUUUCUUGAUCUGAGGAAAAGAUGAACAUAACGGGAUUUUGUAGUGCAAGAGUUGUUUGACAUUGCAAGCCUGAUAUAAUAAAUUAUUCUGCUCAUUUCUAUCUACUUUCCCACCUUUUAGAUGCUUCUGCUUUAGAGAUGUGGAAGUGCAUGUGAAUGACAGCAAUUGAAAAAGCAGCCAAAACUGCAGAUUUCUGGUAUUUCUCUGUCCUUCACACAGCUCUCAUUGGGCUCCUGAACUUGACAGAAGUUUGGCCAUUCGUACUGUGAAUACCUAAACCUAGACACCAGGCUCCUGGGAAAAUUGAAAGAAAAACAG